AUUGAACGCUAGCGGCAUGCCUUACACAUGCAAGUCGAACGGAGUGGCGAACGGGGGCGUAAUAGAACGGAACGUGCCCAGUAGCGGGGGAUAACUACGCGAAAGCGUAGCUAAUACCGCAUACUAUUGGAGCGGCCGAUAUCGGAUUAGCUAGUUGGUGGGGUAACGGCUCACCAAGGCGACGAUCCGUAGCUGGUUUGAGAGGACGACCAGCCACACUGGAACUGAGACACGGCCCAGACUCCUACGGGAGGCAGCAGUGGGGAAUUUUGGACAAUGGGGGAAAGCCUGAUGCAGCCAUCCCGCGUGUGUGAUGAAGGCCUUCGGGUUGUAAAGCACUUUUGGCAGGGAAGCGGUACCUGCAGAAUAAGCACCGGCUAACUACGUGCCAGCAGCCGCGGUAAUUC
rnacentral:rRNA from 1 species